ensembl:lncRNA
UGACAAUCUAAAUGUUAGAAACAACAGUAUAAUAAAUGUGUUCCUGGUUUGGUUUGACUUCAUGUUACUUUUUGUUUUCCUUAAGUGUUGCAUCCCAUUUAGUAUUUUUGAUAUCAUCCCUUUACAUUUUUAAACAGCGUAGCAUUCCCUCUGUCUACUUGCAGAGAAGUUUAGGGGUUAAAACUCCACCAACCAUCACUGGGUGCAUUGAGGAGAUAAAAGAGACACCUGUGAUCUGUUUAAUCAGAUGGAAUAUUUAUAUGAUCUAUUUACACACUGAGGGCAUAUUGUGUAUUUCGUUUGUAGCAUCAUCUUAAACUUCUUUCAAGAAUUCUGAUGCUCCGUUAAGGAGGAUUUCUUUGAUGAGGGACGGUGGACCUUAAUAAAACUCACUGCCAGUAAAGACACGAGGAAAUGUACUGUGGAACAAACAUCAAGUCUGUUAUGAGAAGUGUUGGACUAGUUGCUGCUGUUGUACCAUAAAUGACUCGUUCCUUUAAUGUCAGAAUAAAACCAAACGUGACGCUUGUCUGUCAGAAGACUCGUCUUCUUCUUCUCUGGUUUUGACGAGUCUUUUUACACGUCCUCGUUGGCUCAAUCGGUUCUAGUUAUUGAAGGUGGUGGUGGUGAUGAUGAUGA